AUUGAACGCUGGCGGCAUGCUUUACACAUGCAAGUCGAACGGUAACAGGCCUUCGGGUGCUGACGAGUGGCGCACGGGUGAGUAAUGCAUCGGAACGUACCCAGAGGUGGGGGAUAACGCAGCGAAAGCUGUGCUAAUACCGCAUGUGAUCUGAGGAUGAAAGCGGGGGACCGAGCAGCAAUGUUUGGCCUCGCGCCUUUGGAGCGGCCGAUGUCGGAUUAGCUAGUUGGUGGGGUAAAGGCCUACCAAGGCGACGAUCCGUAGCUGGUCUGAGAGGACGACCAGCCACACUGGGACUGGGACACGGCCCAGACUCCUACGGGAGGCAGCAGUGGGGAAUUUUGGACAAUGGGCGCAAGCCUGAUCCAGCAAUGCCGCGUGCGGGAAGAAGGCCUUCGGGUUGUAAACCGCCUUUGGCAGGAACGAAACGGUGUCCGCUAAUACCGGGCGCUAAUGACGGUACCUGCAGAAUAAGCACCGGCUAACUACGUG
rnacentral:rRNA from 1 species